GGAUUACAUUUUAAAGAACAACGGAAUUACAGAAGCACCUCCCUCAGAUACAAGAAGAUCAAGUCUCAGUCCAUCAUUAGUUGUACAUUCUAAGAGGGAGAAUAGCCAAGAUGGUCCCUAAAGUUUCGCUCCUGGGCCAUUUUAGUCCUUAAUUUUUCAUAUUGUUCAAACAAGUCCUUUAAAUUUGUCACAUGGGCUGAUAUAGUCCUUGGUCCCAUCAAAAUCGCCACAUGGACAUGCCAUGUCACCCUCCUAUGCAAAAUCUAUAUGAUUUGUCCAAUUUAUAUUUACAUAUAUCAUAGGAAAAUAAAAAACAAAAGGAAAAAUUAAAAAAUAUAUGGUAUAUGUAAGAGCAAAAAUAUACGUCAAAAGGGUGAAAAAAAGGAAAAGUAUUUUUUUCCCUAUGGUUAUGUCUAAUUCACCCUUACAUUUAUUUUUCUAUGAUAUACAUAAAGGUAAACUAGACAAUUUAUCAUAGAUUUUGCAUGAAUGAUGACAUGGCAUAUCCAUAUGACGAUUUUGGUGGACCCAAGGAUUAUUCUAGGCCUUAUGACAAAGUUUAAGGAUUUCUUUGAACUAUUUAAAAGGUUAGGGACUAAAAUGAUCCUACAUAGAAACUUUAGGGACUACAGUAGCUAUUCUCCCCAUUCUAAGACAUACUCAUGCGAAAAAGAACCAUGCCCAUAGUCUAAGAUUAAAGCAGUAUUACUAUAGCUUCUUCUAAGAACUGAAAUUGCUGGGGGAAGACAUGGUUUUCUGGAGCAAACUUACCCAUUUCCACUGAAAUCAAAGCGAAAGACACU
rnacentral:lncRNA from 1 species